UUAACUCAUAUUUGUAAGGAAAAGGACCGUUUGCGUACGUUUUCCGCUAGGGGCGCUGUUCCAACUGCAUACAAAAUUGGGCUA
rnacentral:pre_miRNA from 1 species